rnacentral:sRNA from 1 species
AAUUCACAUUUAUAUUUAAGAAUUCAUUUAAAAUCUCUCUGAUUCCUGGCUGGGCAUGGCGGCUCACGCCUGUAAUCCCAACACUUUGGGAGGCCAAGGCAGGCGGAUCACUUGAGGUGAGGAGUUUAAGACCAGCCUGGCCAACAUGGUGAAACCCCACCUCCACUAAAAAUACAAAAAUUAGCUGGGCAUAGUGGUGGGUGCCUAGUCCCAGCUACUUGGGAGGCUGAGACAGGAGAAUCUCUUGAACCUGGGAGGCAGAGACUGCAGUGUGCCGAGAUGACACCACUGCACUCCAGCUUGGAUGACACGGUGAAUGAACUGGUGCAGGUAGAAACGUACCUCCGCAGUGAAGGUGUGCUGGUGCGAUACUGGUAUCCUAUUGACAUGUUGGAAAGGCCCCCAGCAGGCUACCGAAGGACUGCCACCAAUGGGCUGGUCACACUGGACAAUACCAACCUUCAAAUUCACAGGGAGCUGCUGCGCUGCGAGGCUGCGCUGGCCAGGCUGUACUGCCGCAUGGCCCUGCUCAAUAUCUUCGCC